CCGAAAGGGGAGCGACCCGUCAAAUCGGGCCAUCACACAGGUGCUGCAUGGCUGUCGUCAGCUCGUGCCGUGAGGUGUUGGGUUCAGUCCCGCAACGAGCGCAACCCUCGCCCUUUGUUGCCAUCGGGUAAAGCCGGGCACUCUAAGGGGACUGCCAGCGACAAGUUGGAGGAAGGAGAGGAUGACGUCAAGUCAUCAUGGCCUUUAUGCCUAGGGCCACACACGUGCAACAAUGGCCGGUACAGACGGAGGCAAUGCCGAGAGGCGGAGCAAACCCGAGAAAACCGGUCCCAGUUCGGAUUGAGGUCUGCAACUCGACCUCAUGAAGUCGGAAU
rnacentral:rRNA from 1 species